GCCGUGGCUCAGUGGUAGAGCUUCUGCUUGCUAUACAGAAGGUCCCAGGUUCAAUCCCCGGCAUCUCCA